GCCGCUGAAGCAGUUGCUUUAGCAAAGGCUGCAUUGAAGGGUGCACAAGAUGCUGUAAUGCUGGUCGGCUAUAAUAAUUUAAAGGACUCCGAUAAUGUCGGCAGAGGUACUCUAUCAGAAGCUAGGACUGCUCCAUUUGAGAGUGUUCAUCUGGCUCAACCUGGUGAGACAAGGGGAGUUGGUGUUUGUGCAGAAUUAAAUGGAAGUGAGAUGAAGUGGACUGGAAGUAGUUUAUUCCGGGACACACUUACAGAUUCUGAUGACUUGGAGCCAUCACAUGAAGAACUGGAAAUUCUUCAGUCACAGCUGUCGAAUGUCAUAGCUGUAAAAUCAAAUCGUCAAACUGAGCGGAAGGCCAGAAGAGCUAAAGCAGUAGAGAGG
rnacentral:misc_RNA from 1 species